rnacentral:rRNA from 1 species
UACGUAGGCAGCAAGCGUUGUUCGGAGUUACUGGGCGUAAAGGGUGCGUAGGCGGCUUGGUAAGUGUGGUGUGAAAUCUCCCAGCUCAACUGGGAGGGUGCGCUACAAACUGCCGGGCUAGAGUGCGGGAGAGGAGAGUGGAAUUCCUGGUGUAGCGGUGAAAUGCGUAGAUAUCAGGAGGAACACCGGUGGUGUAAACGGCUCUCUGGACCGUAACUGACGCUGAGACACGAAAGCGUGGGUAGCAAACAGG